AACUUGAGAGCAAGGCUGAAUCAGGUUAGAUUGUUUUUAGUAUUAAAUCCUUGGUACAGGUUUCUUUGGGUCUUUUAUGUACGUUCAUCUGGUGCUUCAGAACAGUAGGCCUUGACUCACACCAGGGGUUUACAAUCUCCCUCAAUACUGCCUCCCACACCCCCAACAACCCCCUCCUCCCCCCACCACCCCCCAACCUCCCCAAAAAAAAAAGGCACCACUUAAGAAAAUAAGUCAGGCCUAACUCAUGCUCAAAAGCUAGCUCAAGGGGGAAAGAGUGUCUAAGGUCAG
rnacentral:misc_RNA from 1 species